GUGCAGCACUACGGGCGCUUGUGCCAGCUUUGGAUUUUUCACCUUCCAGUUCUCAUCCACCUUCACAGAAUGCAACACCUUUGAGUGUUUGCUAGCGGAGAGAUGAGGAGACGGCGGGGAAAAGAAGAAGCGAGAAAACGCACAAUGCUGAGAUUGUACCGUUAAAACUCGAUCAAGUUAAUGCUUGCGUGGGAAACGUGCUGCCGCUUCUAU
rnacentral:ncRNA from 1 species